UACAGAGGGUGCGAGCGUUGUUCGGAAUUAUUGGGCGUAAAGAGCUCGUAGGUGGUUUGUCGCGUUGUUCGUGAAAACUCACAGCUUAACUGUGGGCGUGCGGGCGAUACGGGCAGACUGGAGUACUGCAGGGGAGACUGGAAUUCCUGGUGUAGCGGUGGAAUGCGCAGAUAUCAGGAGGAACACCGGUGGCGAAGGCGGGUCUCUGGGCAGUAACUGACGCUGAGGAGCGAAAGCGUGGGGAGCAAACAGG
rnacentral:rRNA from 1 species